AUCGAACGCUGGCGGCAGGCCUAAUACAUGCAAGUCGAACGAGUGGCGGACGGGUGAGUAAUGUCUGGGAACCUGCCUGAUGGAGGGGGAUAACUACUGGAAACGGUAGAUAAUACCGCAUACCGUCCGUUCUGCCGUGCCGGGAUUAGCUAGUUGGUGGGGUAACGGCUCACAAAGGCGACGAUCCCUAGCUGGUCUGAGAGGCUGACCAGCCACACUGGAACUGAGACACGGGCCAGACUCCUACGGGAGGCAGCAGUGGGGAAUAUUGCACAAUGGGCGAAAGCCUGAUGCAGCCAUGCCGCGUGUAUGAAGAAGGCCUUCGGGUUGUAAAGUACUUUCAGCGGAGAGGCGUUACCCACACAAAAAGCACCGGCUAACUCCGUGCCAGCAGCCGCGGUAAUAC
rnacentral:rRNA from 1 species